CCUUGAUGCUCUUAGAGGUCUCUGCAAGAACCUUAACGAUUUUUCAGUAUGAAAGGAGGUUCCUCAAAGAACCGAAUUUAAUCAAGGUUCCUGGAGGAUCUCCAGCUGAGAGAGAGUAAUUUUCUUGAAUUUAUCUUUUACAGGCCUACGUUGCUGUGUACUGAUUCAAAACAUAAAAAAAGUUAGUUAGUUGAAAAACUAGCCGAGCAUAGGCUAGGCCUAGGCUACUGCCUAUGCCAAAAUAGCAGGCAAGUUAGGCAACAUGGUCGGAUAACUCGGCACACAGGUGUUGCUCGAGGCGAUGACGCGCGUGUGGAAUCUUCUUUAAAAAUGGCAACAGAAUUUGACAGUUGAGUCAACGUAACUACAGGAGCACAGACUUUUCAUCUUCCCCUGUUUCCAACUCUCCUGAAAUGAAAGCUAGCUGCUAACGUUAAUGGAGGAAGUCCUGACGUUCAUACUGCUGCACACAGAUCAUACAGGUCCUAUUUGAUUAAAUUUCUAUGUAUGGUAUCCAGUGUCAUGACAUUUGUGCUGCUGCUCUAAGCACCCUUUCCUCCGGGAUCGCACAGGACCAGGAUAUGCAUGUAAGUAGAUUAUUAAAGUCAUAAACAUACAGGUAGGCCUACUGGCUGUAGUGAGGGUCCUUUUUUAGCGCACCUAACAAAUAGGGAUAAUGGGAUGGGAUAUUCCUGUCAGGUGUAUUCAGGCUGUUGUAGUCUGCUCACUUACAGAUGCAAUUGAAUCAUGUAUGCCUACUAUGACACUCUUCCCUUCUGUUGGUAUGUUGCUUAGGUGGCAGCCGGUUAGCGCUUCGGACUUGCAACCGUAGGGUUGCCGGUUCAAACCCCGACCAGUAGGAACGGCUGAAGUGCCCUUGA